GCCGAAAUAGCUCAGUUGGGAAAGCGUUAGAGUGAAGAUCCAAAGGUCCCUGGUUCGAUCCCGGGUUUCGGCA
rnacentral:tRNA from 1 species